rnacentral:rRNA from 1 species
UACAGAGGUCUCAAGCGUUUGUUCGGAUUCAUUGGGCGUAAAGGGUGCGUAGGCGGCGCGGUAAGUCGGGUGUGAAAUCUCGGAGCUUAACUCCGAAACUGCAUUCGAUACUGCCGUGCUUGAGGACUGGAGAGGAGACUGGAAUUUACGGUGUAGCGGUGAAAUGCGUAGAUAUCGUAAGGAAGACCAGUGGCGAAGGCGGGUCUCUGGACAGUUCCUGACGUGAGGUGCGAAAGCGUGGGGAGCGAACAGG